AGAGUUUGAUCCUGGCUCAGGAUAAACGCUGGCGGCAUGCCUAAUACAUGCAAGUCGAACGGUAUCUUCGGAUACAGUGGCGAACGGGUGAGUAACACGUAGGUAACCUGCCCCUGUAACAGGAAUACUUUCUGGAAACGGAAAACAAAACCUGAUAACAGAGGACAAGGCAUCUUGACCUUUUGAAACAGACAAAAGUCUGGAACAGGGAGGGACCUGCGGCGCAUUAGCCAGUUGGCGGGGUAGCAGCCCACCAAAGCGAUGAUGCGUAGCCGGCCUGAGAGGGCGAACGGCCACACUGGGACUGAGAUACGGCCCAGACUCCUACGGGAGGCAGCAGUAGGGAAUUUUCGUCAAUGGGCGCAAGCCUGAACGAGCAAUGCCGCGUGGGUGAAGGAGGUCUUCGGACUGUAAAGCCCUGUUGCAGGGGGAAAAGGGAAUUAAGAGUGGAAAGCUUAAUUUUUGAUGGUACCCUGCCAGAAAGCCACGGCUAACUACGUGCCAGCAGCCGCGGUAAUACGUAGGUGGCAAGCGUUAUCCGGAAUGAUUGGGCGUAAAGGGUGAGCAGGCGGUCAUACAAGUCUGAAGUAAAAGCGGGGUGCUUAACACUUCGAGGCUUUGGAAACUGUAUGACUUGAGGACAGGAGAGGGCGGUGGAACUCCAUGUGUAGCGGUAAAAUGCGUAGAGAUGUGGAAGAACACCAGCGGCGAAGGCGACCGCCUGGACUGGAUCUGACGCUGAGUCACGAAAGCGUGGGGAGCAAAUAGGAUUAGAUACCCUAGUAGUCCACGCUGUAAACUAUGAGGAGCAGGUGUUGGGAGUCAAAUCUCAGUGCCGAAGCAAACGCAAUGACUCCUCCGCCUGGGGAGUAUGCACGCAAGUGUGAAACUCAAAGGAAUUGACGGGGGCCCGCACAAGCGGUGGAGUAUGUGGUUUAAUUCGAAGCAACGCGAAGAACCUUACCAGGUUUUGACAUCGGAUGCAAAGCUUAAGAGAUUAAGCGGAGGUUAUCAUCCAGACAGGUGGUGCAUGGUUGUCGUCAGCUCGUGUCGUGAGAUGUUAGGUUAAGUCCUGCAACGAGCGCAACCCCUGUUGCAUGUUGCCAGCAAGUGAAGUUGGGCACUCGUGCAAGACUGCCGCAGAUAAUGCGGAGGAAGGCGGGGAUGACGUCAAAUCAUCAUGCCCCUUAUGACCUGGGCUACACACGUACUACAAUGGCGUCUACAGCAGGAAGCGAAGCCGUGAGGCGAAGCAAAACUCAAAAGGGCGUCCCAGUUCGGAUUGAAGUCUGCAACCCGACUUCAUGAAGAUGGAAUCGCUAGUAAUCGCGGAUCAGCAUGCCGCGGUGAAUACGUUCCCGGGCCUUGCACACACCGCCCGUCAA
rnacentral:rRNA from 1 species